GUCAGGCCUGCUGAGCCUCAACAUGAAACCAUCCUUCCUGUUUCUGCAAUAGGGUGCUUAGUAACUGAAACUGAUUCCAUUUUGACUUCUGGUGGUGUGCUGACCUUUGGAAGGCCUCUGCAGUGUUUGAAGCUAAAUUUGACUUGGCUUGAUCUUCAUGACUGCAGUAUUCGAAGGCUGAAAACAAAACCUAGUCUACACUAUCUCCCCUAAUUUAUCUAAAAAAGAACCCGAGGAGCCCAGGCUUCAGCUGUUACGAGUUACAAAAACUCUACUACUGGCC